GGAACGGUCGUUGAUAAAGUGAUAGCUGAUUUAGAAACAUGCGGAUUCCAGUGCCUGCUUGCUGGAAUUGGUGGAAAUGGCGUAGAAUUUUCAUAUAGCGGCAUUCCUGAUAUUGGAGGCAAUUUUUCAUGAGAUCCAUCUUUUCACUCUUGAAUGUGGACUCAGAAGGUGCGCUUCGCAAUCUAAAGGAACUCAGAUCCCUACCGUCCACUUGUUUUAUAGUUCAGGUCUUGAUUAAGAACUUGUCAACUUGUUUUAUAGUUCAGUCUUGACAAUAAUUAUAGACAAAUUUCAUAGUGCUCUUUUUAUUUCU
rnacentral:misc_RNA from 1 species